rnacentral:lncRNA from 1 species
AAAGAAAUUUGGCACACAGAGUUCUUGAUUGAGCCCAUUCUAAGUCUCGGCUGAGAACUUUGAUUGUGUGCAUUUACAGUCCAUCAAUAAUGAAGUAUUUGUAAUAUAACCUGUAAGUUUCAACAUCUGCAUAGAAACAUAUAAGUGAGGAACUGUUCAUUGAAAACUUUGAUCAUAUUUUGCAUUAGUCAAUUAGUUUAAUUUUUUUUGCAAACUAUUUGAUUAUUAUUGUGAAUUUCUGGAAGCUGAAUGAAUAAUGAAUUACAUAUUCUUGGUUGGUGAUCUCUUUGGUAUGAUCAAUUGAUAAUAUGGAUGCAAUAGG